CGCGAAAGGGGCUUCGGCCCUGAGUAAAGUGGAGCACGGGUGAGUAACGCGUGGAUAAUCUGCCCUGUGAUCUGGGAUAACACUUCGAAAGGGGUGCUAAUACCGGAUAAGACCACGGAGUCUUAGGACUCUGCGGUAAAAGGUGGGGACCUUCGGGCCUACCGUCAUCGGAUGAGUCCGCGUACCAUUAGCUAGUUGGUAGGGUAAGAGCCUACCAAGGCGACGAUGGUUAGCUGGUCUGAGAGGAUGAUCAGCCACACUGGAACUGAGACACGGUCCAGACUCCUACGGGAGGCAGCAGUGGGGAAUUUUGCGCAAUGGGGGAAACCCUGACGCAGCAACGCCGCGUGAGUGAUGAAGGCCUUCGGGUCGUAAAGCUCUGUCAGAGGGGAAGAAGUGUGCGGGUGCUAAUAUCAUCUGCGCUUGACGGUACCCUCAAAGGAAGCACCGGCUAACUCCGUGCCAGCAGC
rnacentral:rRNA from 1 species